GAGACCUAAUCGAAUUCCCGCGGCCGCCAUGGCGGCCGGGAGCAUGCGACGUCGGGCCCAAUUCGCCCUAUA
rnacentral:rRNA from 1 species